AGAGAAGAAGCUACCAGACCAGCUAUCUCAGCUUAGCUCCUAUCCGGGGACAGGAGGAGAUGAAGCCUUAGGUUGUGCAGAGGAAGAUGAAAACCUGUAAAGGGGAAUUGGGAGGGAGAGAUCUUGAGAGUACAUCAGAUGGGAGUAGCUAACUACUAGGUUCUCUACAAGAAAAUGGCAGUCUCUUUGUCACCUUGUGGAUUUAUCAUCCUGGGCUCAACUUCCAAUUUUUAUUCUAUUUAUUUUCUAUUGAAUUGCUUUUUUGUAUGUGUCUUCAACAAAUCCUUUCCUCUUUGCAUUAUUAGAUUCAACUCCAAAUUGUAAUUUGAAAAUCUUUUGACUUUGAAUUUUGUUUGAAAUAUCCUGGUCCGUUUUGGCCCACUUUCUAACAAUUACUCUACACAGACCCCAGUCCUGCAAAGAUUUACAGUACACAUGUGGUUACUUUUAUACUCUGAGUAGUCCUGUUGAAGUCAUUGGGUGCCUUACUGUGUAGAUGCACAAAUUGUGGUAGAAUGACAGAUCCUCAGUUGGUGUAAAUUGGCAGAGCUAUGUCAAAUUACAUCAGUUGAGGGCCUGACCCAGUCUUAAAUUAUCCAGCUUAAAUAUGUUUUUUAAUUACAUGUUGACCUUUGCAAAUAUUGUUAUAUUAAAAUUGUGUAGUAUAUAAAAUUUGACUGUUGUAAUAGAACUUAGUUUAUGGAAAUGGCAAAUGGCAACAGGAGUACAUCUUUGGCUAGAAGGUAAAAGUGAAAAUGAUGCCACAGAUUCCUUGUUAGACUGGAGUAUAUUAUCUUGUAUAAAAGAUGGCAUCUAAUUUAACUGUGUAAAAAUGAUGUUUACAUACCUGCUUUAAAUGAUGAAAGAUGCCACAUGAAAUUUUACUUGGCUAACAAAUAAAGCUACUGUAGAUCUUUAA